rnacentral:rRNA from 1 species
ACAUGCAAGUCGAACGAAGUAGCAAUACUUAGUGGCAGACGGGUGAGUAACAUGUAGGUAUCUGCCCUUUGGCCUGGAAUAACACGAGGAAACUUGUGCUAAUACCGGAUAAGUCUUUACGGAGAAAGCUUUAUGCACCAUUGGAUGAGCCUGCACUUGAUUAGUUUGUUGGUGGGGUAAUGGCCUACCAAGACUGUGAUCAAUAGCUGAUUUGAGAGGAUGAUCAGCCACAUUGGGACUGAGACACGGCCCAAACUCCUACGGGAGGCAGCAGUGGGGAAUCUUGCACAAUGGAGGAAACUCUGAUGCAGCGAUGCCGCGUGAGUGAAGAAGGCCCUUGGGUUGUAAAGCUCUUUCGUCGGGGAAGAAAAUGACUGUACCCGAAUAAGAAGGUCCGGCUAACUUCGUGCCAGCAGCCGCGGUAAUACGAAGGGACCUAGCGUAGUUCGGAAUUACUGGGCUUAAAGAGUUCGUAGGUGGUUGAAAAAGUUGGUGGUGAAAUCCCAGAGCUUAACUCUGGAACUGCCAUCAAAACUUUUCAGCUAGAGUAUGAUAGAGGAAAGCAGAAUUUCUAGUGUAGAGGUGAAAUUCGUAGAUAUUAGAAAGAAUACCAAUUGCGAAGGCAGCUUUCUGGAUCAUUACUGACACUGAGGAACGAAAGCAUGGGUAGCGAAGAGGAUUAGAUACCCUCGUAGUCCAUGCCGUAAACGAUGUGUGUUAGACGUUGGAAAUUUAUUUUCAGUGUCGCAGCGAAAGCGAUAAACACACCGCCUGGG